rnacentral:miRNA from 1 species
ACUCUCGAACGGAAUGAUCUUG